CCCGCCAGUGUCCUUGGCUUGGGUGUGGAGUGAAGCCACGCAGCCGUGACGCUCUCUGCAGCAGCGUGCGGCGUGGCGGCGGCGCUUCCUGGUCCGAGAGUCACAAUAUAUUCCACACAAAGGCGGCGUCAGCAAAACUCAACUAAACCUGCAAGCCGGGGAAUUAACCUCCAACAUGAAGGAGCAGGAGCCUCAGAGCUAAGAUUAAAAAGAGGAAGCCAUGGAAUCGUGUUUGCCGCUUCGUCAUGCACCGCCGUUCGCCCCUCACUCAUGGCUCGAGGCCGCCCAAGUCAUGCACACCGGCCAUGAUUCACUUCGGAACUUCUGUGGAAAACUGUGUGGGGCGAGGCGGUCUAUACUUCAUCCCUGGAAUCUCCAUUUCCAUCACGUUCUUGCUUAUAUAACUCAGGAUUAAGCGGCGCCCUGGUCCAUGACUUUACGCUGAGAAACUCGCCAAUAAACAUCAUUUCUGAGCGUCCCUUGAUUGCUGAGCGAUUGGGAGGAGAUUGGGGGGAGGGGGCGGCUAGUGCUGGAGCGAGGGCGUGGGGGUGCGUGGGAACAGGCGUAGCGUGGGUGGUGUGGGUGGCGAUUGAGAGUAGAAGGCGUGCAGGUGGUGUGUUGAGGGUGAAGAAACGCAUGAGUCUGAUGAGUGGCGUAGGUGUCCAGUGACCGGUGGGCUGACUGGGUGGGUGACUGUGACUGGACGUGGUGGGCAUGCAUGUGUUGGGGACGUGUGUUACAGGUAUACUCUGGUGCAGAGCGGUGAUGUCCAGCACGAGCCUUCCUUCCCCCUUCCUCCACUGUAGUAUCCAACCAUGUAUUAGUUCAGGCAUUUCCCUCAGGACUAAUUUUAACCCUCCUGGCAGUACGAAGACCUGUGUGCCUCCCGCCGCCUGGUAUUCAAUCAUUUCUCUUGUGUUCUCAUUGGCCUAGCGAUGUACCGGAGAGGGAUUGCGUAUAGAUCUUAGGUGCAGUGAUCGUGUAUGGCUGACCGAGUAGCCAGCCUUCAUCAGUUGUGGAAUCAUGAAGCAUUUGAAUUUGCAAGAAAAAAAAAAAAAGAAGAUAAAAAGUCUUUGAUUCCCCUCCUUGCCUCGAGCUAUGAAUAACCGAGGCUAUUACCAGACAGAGCUACACCAAGGCGAGCUUCAAUUUAAGACUCAUUUCAUGGAAGAGUCGUGUUACUUUCUGUUAGUUAUGGUCUGUAUCGACAGGCUUGCACGCGAGGCAUCAACAUGAGACUCCAGAGACAGCGAAUGGUAGGCGGACAGGAAUCAAACACUACUUUCCGCCCUGAAUGUGCAGCUGAUAUUCACGCCACGCUGCACAAGACACACACAGCGGCUGAUGGAGAGGCGUGCCUGGUUAUCAAGUCCAUACGUAAGUGGGUUAUUACUCCUUCCUGUGAACGAGUACAUGCACACACGCCGUGACGGAAGGCAACGCUCGCACACCCCGAGAACCUUUGUCUGCACACCCUCGCGGCACGUCACAGCGCACAAGGCAUGGCGGGAUGAGGUGUGUAUGCAUGUCUGCGUAUCUAAAGUACACCGUCUGGCCCCCAUUCCUCUCUCACGACAUACCACUGACACUGCUUUUGGCCUUGUCGUUGUUGAGCCCUGAGUGUCUUUCUACCGUCUUUUCUUUCUUCCCCUCACACUCAUCCACCUGCCUGACCGACUGAGACUCUCUCCAGCUGAGUGACCACCUGACCUGGCCUGACCUGAGCUGACGACCUUAUCCGAGAGCAUUAAGACGUGGAAGCAAAAAAUAUUAGGU